rnacentral:rRNA from 1 species
AAACUUUACACUGCGGGAAACCGCGAUAAGGGGACCCCGAGCGCCAGCACCUAGUGUUGGCUGUCCUACUGUCUAAAUAACAGUGGUUAGCAAGGGCCGGGCAAGACCAGUGCCAGCCUCCGCGGUAACACUGGCAGCUCGAGUGGUGGUCGUUUUUAUUGGGCUUAAAGCAUCCGUAGCCGGUUUAGCAAGUCCCCUGUGAAAUCCUGCCGCUUAACGGUAGGGCUUGCGGAGGAUACUACUAGACUAGGAGCCGGGAUAGGU